UUUGCUACUGAGGAGGGACAUUACACAAAUAACAUAUGUAAGGCUUGUACGCGGCUGUGCCCUUCUGGGUGCAGCGUCUGCUGCGGCUGGAUUAUUUAUUUUCACCCUUGUCUUUUGCGCACUUGUUGUUUCCUGGGCGGGUUCGCCCGCCACCAGGACCACAUGAUAAACCUUUUUUAUGCAGUUGCAAUCAGCGUCAGUACAACAAAAUGUAAAUCAUUUACAACUUUCAACAACGGAUCUCUUGGUUCUGGCAUCGAUGAAGAACGCAGCGAAAUGCGAUACGUAGUGUGAAUUGCAGAAUUCAGUGAAUCAUCGAAUCUUUGAACGCACAUUGCGCCCUUUGGUAUUCCAAAGGGCAUGCCUGUUCGAGCGUCAUUUGUACCCUCAAGCUUUGCUUGGUGUUGGGCGUCUUGUCUUUGCUCCGCCAAAGACUCGCCUUAAAACGAUUGGCAGCCGGCCUACUGGUUUCGCAGCGCAGCACAUUUUUGCGCUUGCAAUCAGCAAAAGAGGACGGCACUCCAUCAAGACUCCUUCUCACGUUUGACCUCGGAUCAGGUAGGGAUACCCGCUGAACUUAAGCUUUUGCGGGGGGAAAAAAACUC
rnacentral:rRNA from 1 species